UAAACCUUCAGCGAAGUGCCGCAGCUGGCAGACUAAAAUAGGCUCUGAUCAUAUUUACAUUGUGCUUGCACGACGUUAAAAAUAGCACAUAACCCAACUACGGUAACAGCUGACAUGAGAACGUAAAUAUACGAAGUCAGAUGAACUGUAGACGUUUGGAGGAUUGACGUUAUUUUGACAUUUUAAAGUUGGGCAUUCGUUCAAAGAAGAUGCCGAGAGGUUAACUCUCUAAGUGAUGUACACUUCAUUUGGUCGUGAGGCGCUUCAGUGCGGUCUGGUUCGGGUACACAGCACGUUAGGAUAAAAACUGGACUAUGAAGUUAAUCGUAGACGUGGUGUGGAUGGUGUGGGGUAUCGGAGCCUACGUCUAUGAUUACCUACACACCAGUGCCAUAGAAGAACGUAUACACUCUCUGGAAAGCGUCCUAACUGUCCACCAGUUCAUCAUCGUGUUCCUCACAGCAAGUCUUAUCAUGUUGAUCUCAUAUAUCAUCUUUAAGAAACACUAACUACUACCAAGAUAUUCCAGCACUACACCAAUGUGGUGCCACCCUACGGGUCUAAAACUGUUGUAAAGUGGUUUACAUCGGAGAGCUUGUAGAAUAUGUUCAUAUUUUUUGUAUAUCCCUUGGUGUGUUUCUGGCUGAAGGAAUAGAGGGUAAAUUAUGCCACCAUUACUGUGAAAGACGUGGGGAAAUUUUGAAGUGCUGCAAUACUGAAGGCACAAGGUAUGUGUUUUAGAAUUUCCCUCAAAACCAGGAAGAAAAUAUGAUUGUUUCUUCUAACACACUGCAUUAAUUGACGGAGUGCUUUUGGGACUCAAAGUGUUUUUUUUUUUACUGCAAUGAACUUGGAACAGGAAAAAAAAACAUUGAAAAGAGAAGCCAGUGGAUUUUUGUGUAGCACAUACACAAAGCUGCCAAACUGACUGCAGUUUUGUGACAUUUGCCAUAGCAACAUUGUAGCUAUGAAAAGAUAUCAACCUCCUGGACAACAUAUGUACUUCAACUUUCCACUUCCACAGCUCUGGAGUGGAAGCCUGGCAGAGACAUUCUUGCAUGGGCUUGCUCUCAGCCCUCAUCAUGAUCUGUAAUAAACGCUAACCACUAACCUAGCAAAGUCCUUCCAAGGUGACCAUUCUGCUUCAGAAGGUGUGUUUUGCCCAUUUUAAUGUCCUCAUGCAAUGAUCAGUAACAGCUUUGCUGGUCUUUGCUGGUGUGUGUCUACUAUGAUCUUUGCUAGUAAAGUCAGAGUACAUUCUGGGGCACACGCUUUGCUGAUUGUGCAGUUAUUUAAGGAGCUUUAAUUACACAUAACAAUGCUGAUUCUACUUUAUAUUACAUAGAUAACUGGGUCAACAUGUAGAUUUCUGUUUCUGCACUUUGUCUUUACUGGAAGAGUGGAAACCUACUGAAACUGCUGUUUUCAACACUGUGACACUGUUUGUUUCCUUUUGUAGAUUCUCAUUUACUUUGAAUUUGCAUGAAUGUUUAGAAUAACAUUACAUCAUGUCCAUGAACAUGUAUUUUGGUGUAGGAAAAAUGAACUUGGCCCUAUAUUAGAGAGUUGCAAUUCACAUUUGAUUCAUGUCAAUAAUUAUUUUCCAUUUAGUCUAUAACAAAUAACUGGUGGUUGAUAAUAAAACAGGGUUUAAGUCUUUUUGCCAUAUGCCAUUAAAAACAGCAUUAAAGAGUCUAAUUGGCUUCUUAGGGGGAGGAAUGACAUCGGUUCAUCUAAGAACUAUUAAAAAAAAAACUACAAUAGAAAUAAAAUGAUUUGAUACAUUAAA